rnacentral:rRNA from 1 species
UGGUGGAGCGAUUUGUCUGGUUAAUUCCGAUAACGAACGAGGCUCUGGCCUAUUAAAUAGUUCGCCGAUUCCGAUCUGUCGGCGUUAACUUCUUAGAGGGACAAGUGGCUUUUAGCCACGCGAGAUUGAGCAAUAACA